GCCACGGGGGAACGCUGCUACGUUGCUUUCACUUGGUACGCUCGCACUUAGAGCCAAAGUAAACAUAGAUCCAUGUGAUGUGACGUAGUGGUACCCUCCCGUGU
rnacentral:pre_miRNA from 1 species